GGGUCUCAGAGGGUUAAUUCAGCCUGUUCAAGCCAAGAGAGAUUCUUAUGAACACAUCAUGUUAAAUGGCUGUGAACACACAUGCACACACACACACACACACACACACACACACACAGAUGAACUCAGUUGAUUUCCUGUAAAUGGAGAGAGGAGGAGCUGCACUGACGGUGUGACGCAGGCUCAUGAGGACAGAGGAAGGAAACCCUGAAAGGGGAAGUGUUUAGUUCAGUUCAGCUCCAGACUCCAUUUAGAGAUAACGGAGCAGAAGACUGAAGACUGAAGACUGAAGACUGAAGCAGGACUGACUUCAGAUCAGAAGAUGGAGGAAGAGGAGGACAGAGCAGAGUCUCUAGUCUCCGGCUGUCUGUCUAUUGAAGAGUGAUCAGUCUAAAGGUGCUAUU